rnacentral:lncRNA from 1 species
AAACCCUUUCCCAACAUCAUUGAAGAGUGCUAUAAAUAGAGCAUCCAUGACUUCUUUGGAGGUUCCGGUGAGUGAGCCUAGGAAGGAUUUAAGCUGAUUUGGAGACGAUCCCUUCUUGAAGUAUUCCUUUAUCUCAUCAACAAGUUUAUCAUGAGCACCAACACCAUUCUCAUGAACCUUGGUCUCAGGCUCGGGAGACUUCUUAACCGACUUUUUCUUCUCUUCAUCGGUAGAGAGCAUCACCAUAUCAGCA